rnacentral:rRNA from 1 species
UACGAAAGGUGCAAGCGUUGUUCGGAAUUACUGGGCGUAAAGCGCACGUAGGCGGGUCUGUAUGUCGAUUGUGAAAGCCCCGGGCUCAACCUGGGAAUUGCAGUCGAAACUGCAGAUCUUGAAUACCUGAGAGGGUGGGGGAAUUCCUGGUGGAGAAGUGAAAUUCGUAGAUAUCAGGAGGAACACCUGAGGCGAAGGCGCCUGCCUGGCAGUGUAUUGACGCUGAUGUGCGAAAGCGUGGGGAGCAAACAGG